rnacentral:ncRNA from 1 species
UCCCAUGCAGAGGCGGGAAUAUUUAUACAAGAAGAGAAGACUCUAUGGCGCUUAAGACACAUAACACAUACUCCCAUUUAAUCUACUGGAACAAACUGUAGAAGCCACUGAAUUAUGGUUUUCGGUUGGGGUGACCUCAGAGCAUAAAAUAAGCGUUAAAUGAAUUAACCCAUCUAAGUGUAUAAAUACCAGUAAUUGACCCAUCUCUUGAUCAACAGGACAAGUUACCCAGGGAUCCUAUUUGAGAGCCCAUAUCGAAAAUUAGGGUUUACGACCUCAGUGUUGGAUCAAGACAUUGAAAUGGUGCAACCGCUACUAAUGGUUCAUUUGUUCAAUGGUUAAAGUCCUACAUAAUCUGAAUUCAGACUGGAGAAAUGCAGGUUGGUUUCUAUUUGUAAGU